CCGUCGAGAAUCUUCCGCAAUGGACGCAAGUCUGACGGAGCAACGCCGCGUGAGUGAGGAAGGUCUUCGGAUCGUAAAGCUCUGUUGCCCUAGAAGAAAGUCUACGGGAGUAACUGCCCGGAGGUUGACGGUAUAGGAGAAGAAAGCCCCGGCUAACUACGUG
rnacentral:rRNA from 1 species